UGCAAGUCGUGCUCACAAGUGACUGCUGCUGCUGCUGCCUUAACCUCUCGGCCUUGAUCUUGUUCAAGAUAGCGAUACUCUUGGCAGUCAUGAAUCACUGGCUUCACUACGCAUUGUACUGCCACUAGUACUUGGCUUCACUCCUUGACCAGAUCGUCUUUUGCUGAAUUUUUUCACUUUAUUGGGUGAAAAGGCCUUAGUCAAGUCCUUUCUGUUGAACACCAUUUUGUCUGUGGAUUAGCCUUGGUCACAGGGUCACCAGGCUUGCCUGUCAUUAAAAACUAAACCGCGUGAAUUAUACUCAUUGAAAAUAAAAAAGUAAUGAUGAAGCCAUUAAAAUAUCAUUGGAAGAAGCCAAACAAAAACGACUCUCUGUAUAACUGUCAAAACGUACUACGCGAGUACCAGGUGCCCGCAUAUCUUACUCUAUCAGUACACAUCAACAAAAUAAAGGGAAUAAACAAUAAACUACUUGAAAACGCAUGUCGCCUCGGCAAAGCAACAACGCGUCCACUAGUUUGAGAUGUCCAUGGGAGAGUUGGUCGCCGCUGCGGAUGACAACGUCUAUACACAAAAUCGCAUCUUUUCUAAGUAACACUCGUCAUUGUGCAAAUAUAUCACAACCACCAGAUAAACGAAACUCACCAGCACAUAAGAUGAUGUCCCGACCAGGAUGGUUGGUGACUUUCGUCAGACAGACACGGAACAACUCGCGCCAGUGCACUACGACGACCGUUGGCGGCCGGCGGGCGCAACGGGGAACAACGAAAAUUCGAAAUUCAAACUGCCAAGUUGUUUCGCCGUGUAACCACUGCGGCGCUAAUGUCGU